rnacentral:lncRNA from 1 species
GCCCAGAUCACCCCUGAGUCCCCGGCCCUCCAGAGGCCACGUCCAACCUCAAGCCCCGACCUCAGUGCGGCAUUCCCAGCAUGCCUUGCACUGGGCUGGCCCACGUCAGGACUAGCGGAGGCUUAGGAAUAAGUGAACCAUGAAACCAGACUUCCCGGAACCCGCUUCUUCGUUACUCACUCAUCCUCCGUCUCUGUUAGGCACUCGGAUGGAAGACGUUCCGAUGUGAUAUUUAAACACGAAGUUGAAUAUUGAUACAGAGGCCAGGAGGCACUGCACCCCUGGCCAGCGCGGCUGGGAAAGCUACUGCCCAGCUUGCCCGGCCUUGGCCAGCCGGGAAGGUUCAUUACAUUGUUGGGCACACACCUGCCCCAGACCCUGCUGGGCCCCUUGUGGGCCCCCCAGUAAAGGGCUGGUCCUCAGCGCCUUCCCCAGCUCCCAGACAGAAACAUCUGCCAACACAGCGCCAGAAAGGAAGCAAACAAACCACAGGCCUCCUAGGAUCUGAUUACUGUCCCCAGGGCAGGCUUCCCUGGGAGCCGCCCCUCCCUCCCCUUUCCGAGAACUGGAGAACUCGGUUGCCCAGCAAAUGUUCAGGCUCCUACUAUGAAAGGAGGGGGGUGGCGGGGAGGGCAGCCCAAGGCUAUGAGCUUGGGAUGGGGCCGAACACAGCCCAGGGUCUCUGGGGGAAAUCGGGCAGAGGCAGUGGAGCCAGGAGGGUGUGGGUGCUCUGCUCUGCUGAACUUGCACAGGGAGGUCAGGAAGAGCCCUCUCAAAAAAAAAUAAAGAAAGCCUCUCCAGCUUCCCCUCUUCCGGCUCGGAGCUCAGGCCUCAGGCCAGCCUGGGCUGGGUCCAAACCUCAGUAUUGCUGCCACCUUGCUAAGCCUCAGUUUCCCCCUGGGAGCACGUGGGGAGGGGGUGUCAUAUUUAAGUGUACCCCACGCCAGGAGCCCUGCGGGCCCUUGUGAUCCUCACACCGUGCAAGAACGGACACCAAGGUGGGUGGAGAAGGCCUGGUCCUCCAGGCUGGGUGGUGACGGUGGCACCUUCCGGCCUCACA